CGCCCCCCGGGCCCUCCGCCUCUUCAGCUUCCCCUGCGCUCCGACGCCUGACGCGGGCUCCUCGUGCAGCUGGAAGCGCCCCUUUCGGGGAGAGAGGGGAGCCCAGCGUCCGGCUUCCUCAGACAAGCACUGAGUCAGACAUCCGAGAUACACAGAACAAGUCAGAAUCUCUGACCUGGGAAGCUCUCUUCAGGGAGGCAAAAGAAAAUAUUUACACAGAAGGCGGUGAUGGUGGCUGUAAAUAUGUGCUGCCCAUCCCCACCCCCUCACACAUAGAGCUAUGUAAUGAACCCUCACUUCCAGAAGAGGUUCCAUAGAUGCCCUGAGGCUCCACAGAUCGCAGUUUGAGAACUACUGGAUUAGAACUAAAAUGUGACCCCUCUGCAUUGCUAAAUGAUUAGUUGACCCAGAUGAGGAUGUCCAAGCCAGGCGCUCCACUGUGAUGAUAAUUAUCCAAGGAGAACUUUUAGAUGAAAGCACAGGAGAAAAGGAAAAUUCUUCACGCCCUUGGAAAUAGAGAGUAGCCGUCCAUAGAAAGUGAGGAGUUAACCUUAGUUUCAGUGAAGAUGGCUGUAAGAAGCUGGACAAC